rnacentral:rRNA from 1 species
AAUAUAACUUUCAGCGACGGAUAUCUAGGCUCCCACAACGAUGAAGAACGCAGCGAAAUGCGAUACGUCUUGCGACUUGCAGAACCCAGUGAAUCAUCAAACCUUCGAACGCACCUUGCGCUCUCGGGCAUUCCCGGGAGCAUGCUUGUCGGAGUGUCCGCG